rnacentral:rRNA from 1 species
AUUGAACGCUGGCGGCAGGCCUAACACAUGCAAGUCGAGCGGAAACGAAGGGAGCUUGCUCCCAGGCGUCGAGCGGCGGACGGGUGAGUAACACGUGAGAAUCUGCCCAUUAGUGGGGGACAACUCGGGGAAACUCGAGCUAAUACCGCAUAAUCCGUCCGCGGGAAAGCAGGGGACCUUUGGACCUUGCGCCAUUGUAUGGGCUGACGUCGGAUUAGCUUGUUGGGGAGGUAAAGUCUCACCAAGGCGACGAUCCGUAGCUGGUCUGAGAGGAUGAUCAGCCACACUGGGACUGAGACACGGCCCAGACUCCUACGGGAGGCAGCAGUGGGGAAUCUUGGACAAUGGGGGCAACCCUGAUCCAGCCAUGCCGCGUGUGUGAAGAAGGCCUUCGGGUUGUAAAGCACUUUCAGCAGGGAGGAAGGCUUUGGCCGAAUAGGUUGAAGUACUUGACGUUACCUGCAGAAGAAGCACCGGCUAAUUUCGUGCCAGCCGCCGCCGUAA